rnacentral:lncRNA from 1 species
GUUAAUCUGAGUUGGGUUCUUUAGAGCGCAAGGCUGCUGUAAUCUUGAAUUGGGAACGCGUGUAUCUCGGUUAGAUAAUCGGUAAGGGUUGGUUUAUAGAUCGUACCGAGACCAACUACGAGAGGAAGAAUUGGUGGUUAGGACUAUCUUAAGUGCUAUAACUAGCUUAUUGUUUGGAGGAGAAAAUUUAUGUUUGAGGAUCGAUUCU